rfam:Otolemur garnettii contig002375, whole genome shotgun sequence.
CUUUUGUUUGAACUUGCUUGCCUGUAAAUUCCGACUGAGGUCCUAAAGCAUUUGCGGGCUCAACACCUACUUGCCACACGCAACUUCCUCCUUUGCGGCUCCUGGUCCAGUAGGCACAGAAGACCCCGGGG